rnacentral:rRNA from 1 species
UACGAGGGGGCUAGCGUUGUUCGGAUUUACUGGGCGUAAAGCGCACGUCGGCGGAUCGUUAAGUCGGGGGUGAAAUCCUGGAGCUCAACUCCAGAACUGCCUUCGAUACUGGCGAUCUUGAGUCCGGAAGAGGUGAGUGGAACUCCUAGUGUAGAGGUGGAAUUCGUAGAUAUUAGGAAGAACACCAGUGGCGAAGGCGGCUCACUGGUCCGGUACUGACGCUGAGGUGCGAAAGCGUGGGGAGCAAACAGG